AAUGCUAUUUUGGGGGCUGGAUUAGUCAGGGUUCUCCAGAAAAACAGAAUCAUUGAAUGCACAGAGAGAGAGAGAGACAGAAAUUUUAAUAAGGAAGUGGUUCAUGUGAUUAUAUCAGAGGUGUUUGAACCAGAGCAACUCCAUCUUGAAUAGGGGUUGGAUAAAAUGAGGCUGAGACCUACUGGGCUGCAUUCCCAGACGGUUAAGGCAUUCUAAGUCACAGGUUGCGCUAGGAGGUCAGCACAAGAUACAGGUCAUAAAGACCUUGCUGAUGAAACAGCUUGCAGUAAAGAAGCCAGCCAAAUUCCGCCAAAACCAAGAUGGCCACGAGAGUGACCUCUGGUUGUUGUCACUGCUACACUCCCACCAGCGCCAUGACAGUUUACAAAUGCCACAGCAACAUCAGGAGGUUACCCUAUAUGGUCUAAAAGGGGAGGCAUGAAUACUCCACCCCUUGUUUAGCAUAUAAUCAAUAAAUAACCAUAAAAAUGGGCAUCCAGCAGCCAUCAGGCUGCUCUAUGGAGUAGUCAUUCUUUUAUACCUCUACUUUUUAAAUAAACUUACUUUCACUUUACCCUAUGGCCUCACCCUGAAUUCUUUCUUACGUAAGAUCCGAGAGCCCUCUCUUGGGGUCUGGGUCGGGACCUCUUUCCUGUAACGAUUAUGGAGGCUGAGAAGUCCCACGGCGUGCCAUCUGCAAUCUAGAGACCCGAGAGAGCUGGUGGUAUCGUUCAGUCCAAGUUUGCAAGCCCAAGAACCAGGGGAGACAGUGGUGUAAAUCCCAGGCCCAAGGCAGGAAACUGAUGUCCCAGCUCAGCAGUCAGGCAGAGAGAGUGAAUUCUCCCUUCCUGUGAUCUUUGUCCUACUCACACCUGAAUAGAUUGGAUGAUGCCCCACUGCAGUGGGGAGGGUCAUUUGCUUUACUCAGUCUACCAAUGCAAAUGCUAAUCUCUUCCUGAAACCCCCUCAGGGAUACACUAAAAAAAAAGUGCUACAAACUAUCUGGGCACCCCAUGACCUAGUCAAGUUGACACAUGGAAUUAACCAUCACAGGGGCCCUCUGGGAGAGAGCAGAGAUGAGGAGCAGGAAGUCCCUACUAGUUUGGUGCCACUGUUAGUUGGUGCUGGCACCCUCAGUGGGUGUUGCACUUACAGUUACUGAGGGGAGCCCACUCCCCAACACUGAGGCUCCCUCUCUUACAGAACCUUUGAUCCAGGCAACGCCCCCUCAAGUUGGCAGUGUAGACUUCUCCCUCAGCCUCCUUUGGCCAAGUGUGGGGAUCCCUACUAAAUACCACUCCCUUCCAUGGCGCCCACAGGAAAUAUGCACACGCUGUUACCUAGUGAAGGCUGGAAAUGCAGGCCUUCCUUCAGACAGUCCUCACCCACGAUCUGCCAUCACAGAGGGGCAGCUCCAGCCACAGCCUCUCACCUUGAGUUUGUAUCAGUUCUUCUGUCCCUCAGGUCUCAGGAGACCCUCUUUUGACUUGAGAUGGGAGGGGAGGCAGAAGGCCAGAUGGAGUAUGCUCACUGACAACGCUAUCCAAAGACGUCCUCACUCUCACUCUUCAGCAUCUGAAGGAAACCUCAGGGUCUGGAGGGCCCUCUUGGGCUGGCACAGAGGCCAGCUGUCUCCCUCAAGAAUGGGAGGGCUUGACAAGCUGGCUCUUGUUCUUGGUCUUUGGGGUGUUGAACUAAAAAAAAAAAAAAAAAA
rnacentral:lncRNA from 1 species